AAGAAUUUAUGAUUUUCAAUUUAUCAUCCAUUCCUGUGGUUAUUUAACAUUUAUACUUAGUCAAAAAGUCAUAAGUCAUUUUACACUUUAAACAUUCAUUACCUGUGAAAUACGAACGUUUUAAAUGUUUCGUUUUUGUUUUAUUUCUAAGGUAAUCUAUAUUGGAUUGUCCGUCAGUCUUCUUGAACGUUCCCAAAUGAUGAGCCAUGAGGUAGUAUAUUUAUUUGUAUAACAUAAACAAUUCAAUGUUUUCAUCUAUUAAUUCAUUUAAAUCUAUUGUAGUUUGAUAACAAUAUCACUUAAUAAUGAAUGAAUAAACGUGCAUGUGCAAAACUGUCUGUCGCGUUUGCUGGUUUUCUGGGAUGAUCCAUUCAUUAUCAAACUUCACAAUACCUACCUAUGUGAAACUAUUUCGUUUAGUUGGCUGGAUAAACGUAAAAUUAUAACUUAUUUUAUUUUUAUUAUUAUGGGUAAUAUUUGCAGCAAAAUUUGAUUUCUGAUAUAUUUUUUUAAAAAGGACAGGAUGAGGUAGUGAUAGUCAAUGGGUGUCCAUGUAUUUAAAAAUCAAAAUUGAAAUACAGUGGAACCUCGAUAAAUCUAAAUAAAUGUCUUGUAAAAACUUCGAUUACUCAAAAAAACAAAAAGAAUUGUAGAUAACUUGAACAUUCUGCGUCCCGAAUAUAGACAUAUAAUGAGAAUAAUUUCAAAUGCACCUCCUAUCUAGUUAUAUUUUCUAUGUACAAAUUCUUUGUAUAAAAAAAAUAUACAUCAUAUAGUGCUCACUUAUAUUAAUUUAAUUGUGGUUUGUUAGUCAAAUUAUUGCUGUAUGUAAUCAUAGUAUUUUGACAGGCCAUAAACUAAUUUUUUCAUAUCUAGAUUUUUUAACUAACCUUUUCAGUCAUUAUUUUCUUUUAAGAUUAGUUUUUAAACUGUUGUUCAUAAAUUAUUAAAUCUGUAACCUUAAUGUUAAUAAAUUAAAUUUUUACAUAUUUUACAGUGCAAUUCAAAAUAUAUUAAAUAGUGACAUGUAUUGUUUUUAGAUGCAAAUUUAAUUUUUUUUUAUAGUUGUGUAUAUGAAGAACUAACCAUGUCAUCUACAAAUAGGAGUCACCAUAGUUCUGGCAGUUAUGGACCUACAAAAAUCAUAGAUGAUAUAAAAGAUUCAAGUUUUAAGCUUUCAUUCAAACAUGGUAAGGGUAUUUUUUCAUUAAUUUUCCGUUUAUAUUUUUUAUUUUUGCGAUUUUGACCUUCUUGUCCCAAUCUCAUCCAAUUCUGCUUGUUAGCUACUUUUAAUUUUUAGUCUGAUUCUUCAUUAAUACCAAUGUCCUGUAAAGUGUUGACUUACGCUGACUGUGAACUCAUGUUUAGUAACAAAUUUAACCACUGGUUAAAUAUUAUUGCUGAACAGACAUUGUAAGAGCGGGUCUUUUGAGAUUUCAUGUCCCUGUACUUAAUCUACCCAACUACAAUGGUGUUUUAAAUUUAUAAGAUGUUUUUUUUUUAGGAUGGAAAUGAGAAUUAGUCAGGAGAAAUGCGAAAAAUAAAAAUAGAACACAAUUUGACAUUUAUUUUUAUGGCCCGACCAAUAAGAAACUCAGAUCAUUAUGGGAAAUAAACUUACAAUUAAACUCUGAGACUUCACUAACAAUAAAAAACAUUACUUUCUAAAAAAAAACCAAUUGGAAUGGAUGAAUGGAAAGAAAUAAUUUUUGAUGCCAUUUCUAAAGUAAGAUAUUUUAUUGAAUGUUGUUUAAUUUUGGUUUAUAUAUAUUAUAAUGUGUUUUUUCGUUACGGGUUAGUGAGCCAGAGGCUCAGGCCUAAAAUAAAGGAAGCAGACACAGUUUUAGGUAAUUAAUUAUACUGACCACAGCUCGUGUAAUAGUAUUGCUUCAAUUAAUUUGUAUGGAUCAGUUCUUAAAUUUGUUCCACGUAAUUUUUCACUUAAACUGAUUUCCUCAAAAUUUGAUAUUGCGAUUCUUUUAUAGGGUUUUCCAAUUAGAGAGGGCCGAUCUUAUCUGCGCUGUAUAGCCUUAUCAUUUUGUUGAUGUCUUUCUAAUUUAUUGUUUAUUAUAU
rnacentral:lncRNA from 1 species